rnacentral:ncRNA from 2 species
UUGAAUAAUUUUAAAAUAGGUUCAAUAGAUAAGUAAUUUAUUGAGUAUAAGAGAAUCUGGGUGAAAAUCCCACAUGGUCUCGCCGCUGUAAGAGAAUAGUUUUUUCAAUUGCCACUGGAUAGCUCUGGGAAGGGUGAAAAAGCGUUGACGCUCAAGUCAGAAUACCUGCCUAUUUUAAGCUGCCAAA